rnacentral:misc_RNA from 1 species
UCGAGCCUCCCUUUAAUAGAUUGAGAUUGUGUAGAAUUACCCGUCAACUACAAGGUUGAUUUGUAAGUGCACUCUACCUUCUUGAUGGAUGUCCCAUCAUCGUCCUCGGCUUGCUUCAUUCGAAACAAGAAGGAAAUCGAAAAAACGACCUAGGUACGAUUUGUGCCAAGGAAGCCAGUUGUUUGAGUGCAAUGCCACCUUUUUGUUGUGCGUAGUGUUCGCCUAUUGGUGUGAGAUAUUGCAUGACUCUUGGCAGUGGAUAUCUUGGCUCUCGCAUCGAUGAAGAACGUAGCGAGAUGCGAUACUUGGUGUGAAUUGCAAAAUCCCGUGAACCAUCGAAUCUUCGAACGCAAGUUGCGUCCGAGACCUUCGGGUCAAGGGCACGUCUGCUUGGACGUCAUGCUUUGAGUCACUCCACGGUCCUCCCUUACACUAAACUGUUGUGUGAGUAUCAGUGUGCAUGGAUGUGGAUAUUGAUCCUUUGUGCUUUUGAGGUACGGUGGAUUUAAGUAGUGGAUAUCGCUAGGUUUGCAUUUGGUAAACGGUGGAUCUAGUAAAUGCUCGAAGCCUUCAUUUGCACACAUGAUUCCUAUACACGAUGUAUAGGAAGUAAAAUCCAUAACGAUGUUUGCGCUUUCAGCCAGAUCGGACC